UGGGCAACCUGCCCUCAGCUCUGGGAUAACUCCAAGAAAUUGGGGCUAAUACCGGAUAUGACCGCUGACCGCAUGGUCUGGUGGUGGAAAGAUUUAUCGGCUGGGGAUGGGCCCGCGGCCUAUCAGCUUGUUGGUGGGGUGAUGGCCUACCAAGGCGACGACGGGUAGCCGGCCUGAGAGGGUGUCCGGCCACACUGGGACUGAGAUACGGCCCAGACUCCGUACGGGAG
rnacentral:rRNA from 1 species